GACGAACGCUGGCGGCGUGCCUAAUACAUGCAAGUAGAACGCUGAAGGAGGAGCUUGCUCUUCUGGAUGAGUUGCGAACGGGUGAGUAACGCGUAGGUAACCUGCCUGGUAGCGGGGGAUAACUAUUGGAAACGAUAGCUAAUACCGCAUAACAGUAGAUGUUGCAUGACAUUUACUUAAAAGGUGCAAUUGCAUCACUACCAGAUGGACCUGCGUUGUAUUAGCUAGUUGGUGGGGUAACGGCUCACCAAGGCGACGAUACAUAGCCGACCUGAGAGGGUGAUCGGCCACACUGGGACUGAGACACGGCCCAGACUCCUACGGGAGGCAGCAGUAGGGAAUCUUCGGCAAUGGACGGAAGUCUGACCGAGCAACGCCGCGUGAGUGAAGAAGGUUGUCGGAUCGUAAAGCUCUGUUGUAAGAGAAGAACGAGUGUGAGAGUGGAAAGUUCACACUGUGACGGUACCUUACCAGAAAGGGACGGCUAACUACGUG
rnacentral:rRNA from 1 species